rnacentral:ncRNA from 2 species
CGCAAAACCAAGGGGUGCGAAAGCUGAGAUGCCGCAAGGCGAACCCUAAGAACCUGAUCCGGAUCAUACCGGCGGAGGGAUGGUGUCUUUGACUUCC